UGUCUCAAGAAAAAUAGAGCACAGCUCCAGUCGCCCUUGCGGCUUCCGGUGGAGGGAAGGAAGGAGGGAGCUGGGGAGCGGGCCAGGGCAGCAGCCGGGCUGAAGUUGGCUUGGGGAGCCGGAGGGAGCAGAGCGGAACCUGCAGGGCAGAGGCGGCGGCCGCAGCGGCGCAGCUGAUAGCAGGAACAGGAUCAGGUUUUCCAUACCAGGGACCAGGCCAAAACCAGACUGCCACUGCCCCCUACUUGGGCCCCACUGUCCCCAGAAAGCAGUUGCUGUGAUCAUGGGCAAUAUCUUUGGAAACCUUCUCAAGAGCCUGAUUGGGAAGAGGGAAAUGCGUAUCCUGAUGGUGGGCCUGGAUGCCACAGGGAAGACCACCAUCCUAUACAAGCUGAAACUGGGGGAGAUUGUCACCACCAUCCCUACCAUUGGAUUCAAUGUGGAGACAGUGGAGUAUAAGAACAUCAGCUUCACAGUGUGGGAUGUGGGUGGCCAGGACAAGAUUCGGCCCCUCUGGAGACACUACUUCCAGAACACCCAAGGCUUGAUAUUUGUGGUCGACAGCAAUGAUCGGGAGCGAGUAAAUGAGGCCCGGGGAGAGCUGAUGAGAAUGCUGGUGGAGGACAAGCUCCGGGAUGCUGUACUCCUUGUCUUUGCAAACAAACAGGAUCUGCCUAAUGCUAUGAAUGCUGCUGAGAUCACAGACAAGCUGGGCCUGCAUUCCCUUCAUCACCGUAACUGGUACAUUCAGGCCACCUGUGCCACCAGUGGGGACGGGCUAUACGAAGGCCUGGACUGGCUGGCCAAUCAGCUCAAAAACAAGAAGUGAGAGCCAGACACCCCACCCUAACCAAGCACCCCACCCACCCCUGACAUACCUGCUGUCACCCUGCCCCAGUCCUACCCCUUCCUCUCCAUUGCAAGUGUGGCCAGGGCCCUGGGUAUCAUGUCUGCAUGCCCAGCAAGAGCCUUGCCUCCCCUGCUUCCCCUCCUUUUUCCUGUCCACCUAUAUGACCAAUCCCUAAUUGCUGUCCUGAUGAUGAGUCAUUCCAAUUUACUGGAUUUUAAACAAAAAGAAAAAAGAAAAAUAGAAACAAAAAUACAGUGCCAGGCGCAUGGUAGAUGCCCAAUAAAUAUUCACUGGAUGAAUGACUAUGAAAACUUCAUCCAGAGCAUAUCAGGACCCAGUGCCUAGCUCUGACCUGGGUUUCUCUGUCCUGUCUGUCUGUGGGACACAGCUGCCCCCAUAGUGACCAAUGCAGGAACAGACAGGGCUGCUGCCGGUCCACACGGUGCCUUUGUGCAAAUCAGAAAAAAGGUCACUACUGCUGGCUGCUGUAGCCCAGCACCCAGGAGCACAUUGAGUGGGUGAGGGCUGAAUUUUAGCCCCUGCCUUCCCUCUUCGAGGGUGUUUUUGGGUGGGAUACCUGCCCAGUUGCGUGUGCCGGCUCUGGGAUAAGAGUGCAGAGCUGGAGUUCUAAGACCUCACCUGCUUUUAUUGUUCCCAUGCCUCUCUGAAAAAUGUUUCUGAUAGCACUCUGCCUACAGCUUUUACCCUUUUCUCUCACCAACUCCCAAUCCCUUCUCUUUCCAGUUCUUUUCAACACAAUGACUGUGAUUUGCAUAUAUUGAACUGAAAUUCUCAUUUUGUGCUUGGAAGUUCAUCCAAGCAGAGUAGAAUGUGGCAUAAGGGAGACCAGCCUGGGCAACAUAGCAAGACCUCAUCUCUACUAAAAAUAUACAAAAUUAGUCAGAUGGAGAGGGAUUGUGGUUGGAGAGGGAUUUCUGUCCUGUGUGCUUACUACACGUGAAGAAAGACCAUAGGAAACUCAAAAAAGAAGCAACCAAACCAUCAAAGAAAUAGUGAAGUUGCUGUAAAAACGCAGUCAUGUGUUAAGGGUUCUUCAUUUGGAAAGAUAAAGGCUAAGACGGAGGAACAUCUGUUUAAUCAUGGAUGUUAUGGUUAGGGUGGUCUUGAACUCAUUCACCAAAUCCUUAAAGAGAACCAGGGAGGGGGUGCUCUGCUUCAAGCUUGAGAGUUACGUUUAGGAAUAAUCAAAGAAAAUGUUCCUUCACUUGGUGGGCGGUAGGAUCAUGGAACUCAUUAUCCCAAGCGGGAGUCAAGCUGGAAAUAAAAAGGCUUGCGGCACUUAGCUGUCGACAGACCCCUAAUGACUUAUGAAGAGGAACGAGGAGGCCUUGGGAUAGGGCAAUGUUCUUUGAAGUUGCUGAUAAGGAGCAUGACUGGUUGUCCAUAGGGCGUCCCUGCAUGCCCUUCUCAGAGACAGUUUUGAGCUGAGCAAGAUGAGGAGCCAAGGCGGCACCCACAACCCCUGGCAAUCUGGAAGUUUGCCUUAUUAAUGGGGGAUGGGGUGAGGGCCUCGUACAGGAAUGAUUGACUUUCCCAACUCAGUUUUCCUUAGGCCAGCUCCGUCUAUUGCUGGGAAUUCGAGGGUCAUCAAAACAAGGAAAUGAUGUUUGUGGAUGUUUUACCUAAAUGUCUACACUAUGCAUGGGGACCUCGCCUGUUGUCACUAUGAGAGCUGACAUUUAGUGAUUAUGUACUACAUGCUGCUAUAUGCGCUUAUUUAAUGUUUAUAGCAAUGCCAUAAGGUAGGUGCUAUUAUUUCAUCAUCCUGUUUCACAAAUGGGGAAACUGAGGCACAGAGAAGUAGCUCUUUCAAAGUCUAACAGGCAAUAAAUGAUACAGGAUUCAAACGAAGGAUGGAAGCCUCUGGAGUACAUAGUGGACUAUUUCUCCAUUAGAGUGGGGUCAUGGCCACUCCUAUGGCACUACCAGAGAGGACACAACUCCCCUCCAGCCAUGUGGUACCAGGAAGGAGUGCAGGCCCAUUGUGGCCAUAUCCACUUUUUCAAGAAAAGUCAUAAGGAUCAACACUGGGUGGAUACAACAAAUGUAGCUAAAUGCAGACUGAGGUCACCCAGCUCUGAUCGUUGCGGUACCCACACCACCCUACAGCGACACAUCUAUGGGCAGGGUGCUGUUGUCCAUGUCCAUGGAAAACAUGAGUUACCAGGGGUGGGCUCAGAGCAGCAGGGAGCCUGGCUGGACACACACGGUGAAAAGGCUGCUGGGCUGGGGUACCUGCGUCUAGAAGUUGGUCUCCUGCCUUUCAGCGGUGCUUAGUGAUCUCUCUAGGCCUCUGGCCAGUCCAGGAUUCUAUGAAUGUCAUUGCAGAGAGCAAUAGCAAAGGCUCUAAGGCAUAGAGAGAUGUUUGAUGUCUGCGAAGAUGGGCUCUGUGGCAUAUAACCGGAUUGUCCCAGUUGGCACAUAAGCCACACAAAAUGUGCAGAACCCGAGGCUACACCUUCGAUGUCGUGUGUGCUGAGAAAACUGGCAGUGCACGGGGCCUGUCACAUCCCGGGGAGGCUCCAUUCAGGUUGGGCGCUGCACCUCAACCACACAGGGAGUGCUGGGGGCUUUUCCUAGUUUGCACAAAGGUGCCGUCUGUGAGCUAAGCUGCACAUCGUGGAUGUGUGUCCACCGGAGGAGGGACCUUUUCCAACUCACAUCAAGUUUCCUUGCGUCCCCGGGGGCCCUGAAGCAGUUUGGGGUGCUGCUGACCUUCCCCACACCCACACUGCUUUCUAGUUAUAUCUUCCCAUCUUUUCUACUGUUGAGAGUGGGGUGGGAUUUAGGGGACCCAGGAAUGCCGGAAUUCUGUCCUGGCUCUUCCACCCCUUCCUUCCUGUGGGGUUCCUGGGGAUUGGCACACACAGAGGAUAAAGGCAAAUGGCACAGAGCCUGACACUCCACUCCGGGCAGGGCUCUGGGCUGCAUGGCACAGCUGAGGCUCGGAACUCCAGGAUCCAGAGGUUCUCCCUUCCCUGGCCAUGCUUGGGCCCAACCUGCCAGCACUCAUGUGGGGAGGAUGAGGGAGGCCAGAAGGACAGGCUCUGAGAGGACCUUGAUUCGGCGUCCUUGUUCUGUCCCCAGAGCUGGAGGAGCCAGUGAGAAGAGCAAGAUCUACCAACCCCCUGAGAGCAGGAUAUAGGAGGGAAGGCCACACCUUGGCACAGACCUUAUCACACAGGGUCCCUGCCACCUUAUACAGGUGGCUGAAGCAGAGUCCCGGAUCCUGGCCAAAGCGAUUGGCAGCAGCUCCCUAGAGGGAAGCCAGCCGAGGGGUGGGUUCUUGUCCCUUACGGGAACAUGGUCUCAUUCAAUCUUCACAGCCUCCCUAUUUACAGAUUGGGAAACCGAACUGCGUGCUAAACGAGGAUGAGGAAUUGGGUCAAGGUCAUGCAGCUACUAAGCAGAGCUGGGCUUUGGUGCUGUGGCCGACUUUGCAGCCUCUGCCCAGGUUCCUCUUCGGGAUGCGACUGCUGACAGUUCAUCGCCAGUCUCUCUCCAGGAGUAGCCCUGCCCAAAGGGGGCUGCCUGGCCCAGGGGUGGCUCCCUCCUUGCGGGGCAGCCUGAACUCAACUCAGCCGUGUAGGGUAAUGAAGGAAAAGAAAAAAGAGACUGUCCUGGAGAGAUGAGGACUGAGAAACCCAACCCAGCCCCUGGCUCCAAGGAGUCCCGGCCCAGCCCUGGAGACAGCCCUUAUCAGCUGCCAUCCCAGCUUCCUGUUUUUCAGUGGGCUGGGGACUGGGGCUGAAGGAACUUCUGCUUCUGUUUAUUCUUCCCCUUUAUCUUAAUGGGUUCCCUGAGAUGGCUCCCUGGGACACCUCUCGCCACUGCUCUGUGUACUCAGAUCCAAACCCUUCUUUCUUGCUUCUCUUUUAUGGAAGUUUUGAAGAAUGAAUGGUUACACAACAGAUGGCCAGCCGGUCUACCUAGAAGGGCCUUACAAAGGACAGUGCCUCCGUGGGGAAGGCUCGCCCUGGAUCAGACGCUGGAUCGCAGAUUUACCGUGAAUGAAGCCCUUGGAGACUGAAUGAUGUUAAAAAUUCAAGAACAACUCAGGAAAUAUUUAUUUGAAGGCCUGCUGUUCUUCAAGUCCCUGGAAUACAGAUAUGAGAAGAGUCAGUGCUGCCCAAGAGCUGACUGACUGUGGAGGAAGACCAUGCUAGCGGAUGACUACAUUUUCUACCACCUAGCACCAGCUCCCCCUUCUCCUGGUAAUGGUAUCUGCAGACAACCUCCUCAGUCUGUGUGCUUUCAGUGGAACUGAAUCUACCCCUGGCUCAAAAGCUUAGGUACAGCCUCUGGCCUGGCUGCAGUGAUUAGUUUAGAGAUGGACUUGUAACCUCAUCAAAGCCUGAUAUUGUUCAGGGUAACGUACUAGAUAUAUUUUUCUAGGAUUGCCAAUAAUCAUUUAUUUAAGCUCCUUAGAUAAGGUUUCCUGUCAUUUGCAACUGAAAAAAGUUCUGUGUAGUAGGUUGAGUAGUGUUCACCCCCUGCCCACAAAAUACAUUCACAUCCACCCAGACCUUUAGAACUUUAGAAUAUGAUUUUUUGUUUGUUUGUUUUGUUUUGAGACAGAGUCUUACUCUAUCACCAGGCUAGAGUGCAGUGGCAUAAUCUCAGUUCACUGCAACCUCAGCCUC